AUUGAACGCUGGCGGCAUGCUUUACACAUGCAAGUCGAACGGCAGCACGGGCUUCGGCCUGGUGGCGAGUGGCGAACGGGUGAGUAAUGCAUCGGAACGUGCCCAUGUUGUGGGGGAUAACUACGCGAAAGCGUGGCUAAUACCGCAUACGCCCUGAGGGGGAAAGCGGGGGAUUCUUCGGAACCUCGCGCAAUUGGAGCGGCCGAUGUCAGAUUAGCUUGUUGGUGAGGUAAAGGCUCACCAAGGCGACGAUCUGUAGCGGGUCUGAGAGGAUGAUCCGCCACACUGGGACUGAGACACGGCCCAGACUCCUACGGGAGGCAGCAGUGGGGAAUUUUGGACAAUGGGGGCAACCCUGAUCCAGCCAUGCCGCGUGAGUGAAGAAGGCCUUCGGGUUGUAAAGCUCUUUCAGCCGGGAAGAAAACGCA
rnacentral:rRNA from 1 species